rnacentral:rRNA from 1 species
GAUCCUGCCGGAGGAUACCGCUAUUCGGGUUCGGUUAAGACAUGCGAGUCGAGAGUCUUCGGGACUCGACGAACUGCUCAGUAAUAUGUGGUCAACUUACCCUAUACUCAGGCAUAAUCUCGGGAAACUGAGGCUAAUACCUGAUGGAUUUUCUGUUCUGGAAUGAUAGAAAAUCGAAAGGUUACGGUAUAGGAUAGGACCACAUCCUAUCAGCCUGUUGAGGGUGUAAUAUACCCCCAAAGCUAUAACGGGUAUGGGCCAUGAAAGUGGAUGCCCAGAGAUGGAUUCUGAGACAUGAAUCCAGGUCCUACGGGACGCAGCAGUUACGAAAACUUCGCAAUGCGCUAACGCGUGACGAGGGAACCUGAAGUGUUCAUGCUCUGCAUGAACUUUUGCCAACUGCAAACAGGUUGGAGAAUAAGGGGUGGGUAAGACGAGUGCCAGCCGCCGCGGUAAUACUCGCGCCCCAAGUGGUAUCCGCGAUUAGUGGGUCUAAAGCGUCCGUAGCCGGUUUGAUAAGUCUCUAGUGAAAUUCUUCGGUAAACUGAAGAGCCUGCUGGAGAUACUAUCAGACCUGGGACUGGGAGAGGGUAGAGGUACUCCUAGGGGAGGGGUAAAAUCCUAUAAUCCUAGGGGGACUACCUGUGGCGAAGGCUUCUACCUAGAACAGGUUCGACGGUGAGGGGCGAAACCUAGGGGAGCGAUUGGGAUUAGAUACCCCAGUAGUCCUAGGCGUAAACGAUGCCCGCUUGGUGUUACAAACCUUUCGUGGGUUUGUAGUGCCGGAGCGUAGGUGUUAAACGGGCCACCUGGGGAGUACGUCCGCAAGGAUGAAACUUAAGGGAAUUGGCGGGGGAGCACACAAGGGGUGGAGGCUGCGGUUUAAUUGGAUUCAACGCCGGA